UUAAGUUAUUAAGGGCGCACGGUGGAUGCCUUGGCACUAGAAGCCGAUGAAGGACGUUACUAACGACGAUAUGCUUUGGGGAGCUGUAAGUAAGCUUUGAUCCAGAGAUUUCCGAAUGGGGAAACCCAGCAUGAGUUAUGUCAUGUUAUCGAUAUGUGAAUACAUAGCAUAUCAGAAGGCACACCCGGAGAACUGAAACAUCUUAGUACCCGGAGGAAGAGAAAGAAAAUUCGAUUCCCUUAGUAGCGGCGAGCGAAACGGGAAGAGCCCAAACCAACAAGCUUGCUUGUUGGGGUUGUAGGACACUCUAUACGGAGUUACAAAGGACGACAUUAGACGAAUCAUCUGGAAAGAUGAAUCAAAGAAGGUAAUAAUCCUGUAGUCGAAAAUGUUGUCUCUCUUGAGUGGAUCCUGAGUACGACGGAGCACGUGAAAUUCCGUUGGAAUCUGGGAGGACCAUCUCCUAAGGCUAAAUACUCUCUAGUGACCGAUAGUGAACCAGUACCGUGAGGGAAAGGUGAAAAGCACCCCGGAAGGGGAGUGAAAUAGAACCUGAAACCGUGUGCUUACAAGUAGUCAGAGCCCGUUAAUGGGUGAUGGCGUGCCUUUUGUAGAAUGAACCGGCGAGUUACGAUUUGAUGCAAGGUUAAGCAGUAAAUGUGGAGCCGUAGCGAAAGCGAGUCUGAAUAGGGCGUUUAGUAUUUGGUCGUAGACCCGAAACCAGGUGAUCUACCCUUGGUCAGGUUGAAGUUCAGGUAACACUGAAUGGAGGACCGAACCGACUUACGUUGAAAAGUGAGCGGAUGAACUGAGGGUAGCGGAGAAAUUCCAAUCGAACCUGGAGAUAGCUGGUUCUCUCCGAAAUAGCUUUAGGGCUAGCCUCAAGUGAUGAUUAUUGGAGGUAGAGCACUGUUUGGACGAGGGGCCCCUCUCGGGUUACCGAAUUCAGACAAACUCCGAAUGCCAAUUAAUUUAACUUGGGAGUCAGAACAUGGGUGAUAAGGUCCGUGUUCGAAAGGGAAACAGCCCAGACCACCAGCUAAGGUCCCAAAAUAUAUGUUAAGUGGAAAAGGAUGUGGCGUUGCCCAGACAACUAGGAUGUUGGCUUAGAAGCAGCCAUCAUUUAAAGAGUGCGUAAUAGCUCACUAGUCGAGUGACACUGCGCCGAAAAUGUACCGGGGCUAAACAUAUUACCGAAGCUGUGGAUUGUCCUUUGGACAAUGGUAGGAGAGCGUUCUAAGGGCGUUGAAGCAUGAUCGUAAGGACAUGUGGAGCGCUUAGAAGUGAGAAUGCCGGUGUGAGUAGCGAAAGACGGGUGAGAAUCCCGUCCACCGAUUGACUAAGGUUUCCAGAGGAAGGCUCGUCCGCUCUGGGUUAGUCGGGUCCUAAGCUGAGGCCGACAGGCGUAGGCGAUGGAUAACAGGUUGAUAUUCCUGUACCACCUAUAAUCGUUUUAAUCGAUGGGGGGACGCAGUAGGAUAGGCGAAGCGUGCGAUUGGAUUGCACGUCUAAGCAGUAAGGCUGAGUAUUAGGGAAAUCCGGUACUCAUUAAGGCUGAGCUGUGAUGGGGAGAAGACAUUGUGUCUUCGAGUCGUUGAUUUCACACUGCCGAGAAAAGCCUCUAGAUAGAAAAUAGGUGCCCGUACCGCAAACCGACACAGGUAGUCAAGAUGAGAAUUCUAAGGUGAGCGAGCGAACUCUCGUUAAGGAACUCGGCAAAAUGACCCCGUAACUUCGGGAGAAGGGGUGCUCUUUAGGGUUAACGCCCAGAAGAGCCGCAGUGAAUAGGCCCAAGCGACUGUUUAUCAAAAACACAGGUCUCUGCUAAACCGUAAGGUGAUGUAUAGGGGCUGACGCCUGCCCGGUGCUGGAAGGUUAAGAGGAGUGGUUAGCUUCUGCGAAGCUACGAAUCGAAGCCCCAGUAAACGGCGGCCGUAACUAUAACGGUCCUAAGGUAGCGAAAUUCCUUGUCGGGUAAGUUCCGACCCGCACGAAAGGCGUAACGAUUUGGGCACUGUCUCAACGAGAGACUCGGUGAAAUCAUAGUACCUGUGAAGAUGCAGGUUACCCGCGACAGGACGGAAAGACCCCGUGGAGCUUUACUGUAGCCUGAUAUUGAAAUUCGGCACAGCUUGUACAGGAUAGGUAGGAGCCUUUGAAACGUGAGCGCUAGCUUACGUGGAGGCGCUGGUGGGAUACUACCCUAGCUGUGUUGGCUUUCUAACCCGCAC
rnacentral:rRNA from 1 species